AUGCUCCCCGCCGCGGCGGCCUCGACGCUCCGGUUUGCCUUUGAUGCCGAGGAGGUCACACCGAACAUGACGCUGCAUGGGCUGGCGCAAUGCACGGAGGACCUGCCCGCCGAGGAGUGCAGCCGGUGCCUGGCAUCGCACAUGGUCUGGCUCGCCGGAUGCUGCGCCGACAUGGACGGUGUCCGUCUAAACGGGCCCAGCUGCUACCUGCGCUAUGAGUUCAUGGCCUUCAUCCCCAGCAUGCCGCCGUCCAUGGCACCCCUGCUACCUCCUCCUCCGGCGUCUGAAUCAGGGACUCCCUCAGGGAGGAAGAAGGCUAGAACAUACAUACUUGCGGGGACCCUGAGUGCAUUGGCGCUGCUGUGCCUCUGUCUUCUGGGAGCAUUUCUGUAUUACAAGAAGAAGUUUCAUGGCUCACUUCCUCCCAUGCCCUGGAAGAGGGACACACCGACGAUUGAAUCCUUCCUGCGGCGGCAACAUCCGAGGAGGUACAGCUACUCGCAAGUGAAACGGAUGACGAAAUCUUUCUCGCACAAACUUGGCCACGGCGGCAACGGUGUGGUCUACAAAGGCAGACUCCCGGAUGGCCGUGAGAUUGCCGUGAAGAUGCUCAAGGACAACAGGGACGUCGAUGGCGAGGAUUUCAUGACUGAGGUCGCCAGCAUCAGCAGGACCUCCCAUGUCAACGUCGUCACGCUGCUGGGAUUCUGCUUGCAGGGUAGAUCUAAAAGGGGACUCAUCUAUGAGUUCAUGCCGAAUGGCUCCCUUGAAAGAUACACUUCUGGGAGAGGCACUGAGCACAACUCACUUGGCUGGGAGACACUGUUCGACAUUGCUGUCGGCAUUGCGCGAGGCCUCGAGUACCUGCACAGAGGUUGCAACGCCGCACAUUGUGCAUUUUGA
rnacentral:rRNA from 1 species